GAUGAACGCUAGCUACAGGCUUAACACAUGCAAGUAGAGGGGAAACGAUAUUGGAAGCUUGCUUCCGAUAGGCGUCGACCGGCGCACGGGAGAGUAACGCGUAUCCAACCUGCCCACCACUCGGGGAUAACCUUGCGAAAGUAAGACUAAUACCCAAUGAUAUCUCUAGAAGACAUCUGAAGGAGGUUAAAGAUUUAUCGGUGAUGGAGGGGGAUGCGUCUGAUUAGCUUGUUGGCGGGGUACCGGCCCACCAAGGCGACGAUCAGUAGGGGUUCUGAGAGGAAGGUCCCCCACAUUGGAACUGAGACACGUUCCAAACUCCUACGGGAGGCAGCAGUGAGGAAUAUUGGUCAAUGGACGAGAGUCUGAACCAGCCAAGUAGCGUGCAGGAUGACGGCCCUAUGGGUUGUAAACUGCUUUUAUAAGGGAAUAAAGUGUGCCUCGUGAGGCUUUUUGCAUGUACCUUAUGAAUAAGGACCGGCUAAUUCCGUGCCAGCAGCCGCCGUAA
rnacentral:rRNA from 1 species